UAGGCUUCAUCCCUUGCUAGUCCAUCUAGCAUCAAGCUGCUAGAAAUUUUGUCAUGCCAAGCUAUCAUGCUUUGAACUCAGAGCGUAACAGAUGCCGCAUACCUGUAUAGUGGAUCAUAUAAGCAUGCGAGGCUAUAGAUUAUAUCAAAGCAAUAAUAAUUUCUAAAAAAUUAUUUAAUUAAGAACUUCUCCAAAUGGUUCUUAUAAUAGUUCCAAAGUGACAUAAGUCAACAUGUGCUAACUACAAACAUAACUCAAAUAAAAUAUUCUAAUUGGACUUACUAAAACUCUAAUGACUGAAAGUAUUUUCGAAAGAACUAGCACACUCACCAAGUCCCGAGAAAUUAUGCAUUCAGAUCUAAAAAAUAAAAAAAUAUAAUAAUGAGCUACACUAGCCCAGUAAGCAACAUAAUACCCUACAGUGAGGUCUAAGCAUGCCAAAGUAUAACUUAAAAAAUAAGAUAUUGACUGAAAAUAGAUAAA
rnacentral:lncRNA from 1 species